CAAAAUUCAGAGAUGGCAAUCGUUGGCUUCAGCUAAACUAGCUGCUGAUAUGCAGAGGUCUUCUAGACCUGAACGGCGAAUCAAUGGCCCCACAGUCACACAUCUUUGGUCAAUGCUGAAGUUGCUUGAUAUCUUGGUUCAGCUUGAUCAUCUUAAAAAUGCUAAAGCUAGCAUUCCUAAUUAUUUCUCUUGGUAUAAAAG